rnacentral:rRNA from 1 species
UACAGAGGUCUCAAGCGUUGUUCGGAUUCAUUGGGCGUAAAGGGUGCGUAGGUGGCGGGGUAAGUCAGGUGUGAAAUCUCGAGGCUCAACCUCGAAACUGCACUUGAUACUGCCUUGCUUGAGUACUGGAGAGGAGAUUGGAAUUUACGGUGUAGCAGUGAAAUGCGCAGAUAUCAGGAAGAACACCCGUGGCGAAGGCGGCUCUCUGGGACGGUACUGACGCUGAGACGCGAAAGCGUGGGGAGCGAACAGG